rnacentral:rRNA from 1 species
GGGCCCGCACAAGCGGUGGAGCAUGUGGUUUAAUUCGAUGAUACGCGAGGAACCUUACCAGGGCUUAAAUGUAGUGGGACAGGUCUAGAGAUAGACCUUUCUUCGGACUCAUUACAAGGUGCUGCAUGGUUGUCGUCAGCUCGUUCCGUGAGGUGUCAGGUUAAGUCCUAUAACGAGCGCAACCCCUAUCGUUAGUUGCCAGCGGGUCAUGCCGGGAACUCUAGCGAGACUGCCGGUGCAAACCGUGAGGAAGGUGGGGAUGACGUCAAAUCAUCACGGCCCUUACGUCCUGGGCUACACACGUGCUACAAUGGCCGGUACAGAGAGCAGCCACUACGCGAGUAGGAGCGAAUCUUCAAAGCCGGUCUCAGUUCGGAUCGCAGUCUGCAACUCGACUGCGUGAAGCUGGAAUCGCUAGUAAUCG